UUGAAAUAUCUGUCUGCUUACAGUUCACCGUCCCAAAGUUCUUGCACUGUCUUGUAAAAGCCAUUAGUCUUGUCAACUAAAAAACUGCCCAUUCAUAGCCUCAUCUUCUCACUUUCAGAAAACUUGGCAAACAAAUUUUCAGGAAUAGACCAGUCAAAAACAUCGAAGUUUUGCUCGAUCCUUGCCUCAUUCGUGCUCUUAGGCACUACACUGUGACCCAUUUGAAGUCCCCAACGAAGAGCAACUUGUGCAGGAGUCUUGCCUAAUUUCUCAGCAACUGUAGUGACAAUAGGAUUCUUGAGAAUUGGUGUUCCAGAGGCAC
rnacentral:misc_RNA from 1 species